rnacentral:rRNA from 2 species
CAUGCAAGUCGAGCGAACUGAUUAGAAGCUUGCUUCUAUGACGUUAGCGGCGGACGGGUGAGUAACACGUGGGCAACCUGCCUGUAAGACUGGGAUAACUUCGGGAAACCGAAGCUAAUACCGGAUAGGAUCUUCUCCUUCAUGGGAGAUGAUUGAAAGAUGGUUUCGGCUAUCACUUACAGAUGGGCCCGCGGUGCAUUAGCUAGUUGGUGAGGUAACGGCUCACCAAGGCAACGAUGCAUAGCCGACCUGAGAGGGUGAUCGGCCACACUGGGACUGAGACACGGCCCAGACUCCUACGGGAGGCAGCAGUAGGGAAUCUUCCGCAAUGGACGAAAGUCUGACGGAGCAACGCCGCGUGAGUGAUGAAGGCUUUCGGGUCGUAAAACUCUGUUGUUAGGGAAGAACAAGUACAAGAGUAACUGCUUGUACCUUGACGGUACCUAACCAGAAAGCCACGGCUAACUACGUGCCAGCAGCCGCGGUAAUACUUAGGUGGCAAGCGUUAUCCGGAAUUAUUGGGCGUAAAGCGCGCGCAGGCGGUUUCUUAAGUCUGAUGUGAAAACUCACGGCUCAACCGUGGAGGGUUUUUGGAAAAUGGGGAACUUGAUUGCAUAAA